ACAUCAGAACAUUUUCUCUGUAAACCCUAAACUACAAACGCCGCUUUCAUUCUUUUCAUCUAUCUUUGUGUUUUCUCCUCUCCAUUGAAGCCGCUUCGAUUCUUUGAGGUAUCCUACAAUCCUCAACUCGAACCCUAAUUUGUGGUCCAAUUGCUUUUAUUGUUAAUUGUAUGUUAUUAUGAAUUUGGGUUUUGUUGUUUUUUUUGAACAAUGGGUUUUGAUAAGAAGAGAGCGACAGAUAAAGGUGGUGUCGCAGACAUGGCGACGACUUUUCUGCUCAACUUGCUAGGGUUCCGACACUAUGUUCAUGAGUUCCUUCACUUUGAAGUUUAAGAUCUCUCACUUCGUGAAGUUCAUCUGCCCCUCAAUUUUUAGUUUUCUAGCAUGUAAGUGUUUAUGUGUUUGCAGAACAGGGUUUUGUUCUUUAUGUUGUCACAAUUGUCGUUUGUUCUGUGAAUAGCAAACUUGAAACCCUAAUUCGAAGGAUGGUCAGUAUUCGAUUUCCCCAAUUUUGAUUUUGCAUUUUAUUACAUUUGGUUUUCUGUAUUUUGCUUUUUUUUAAUUGUUUUUGUAGUUUUGGUUUUCAGUUUAGGAUCAUUGAUAAACACACUACUUUUUGUUAAGGACUUGAUUGAAUCAUUCUUGAGUUUCAAUAAUUUUUUUCAUGUGCUUAGCUUGAAUCUAAGAUGAUAGAUGGUAAUAAAUGAUUGUUUCAUGUAAAAAGGAUAUGCACCCUACACGACUCGCAUAUUUACUUACGGUUAUUUAUAUACCAUAUACUGGGUGACAAAAGAUUCAUUAGGGAUUUAUCAUUAUUUUCUUGAACCUUUCGAAUUCGUUUAUUAGAUUGUUAUUAUUAUUUUUGUAUUUUAUUUACAUUAAUAUUGCAGCUGGAAAUUUUGAGUUUGCUGCUGGUGAACACUACAAGAAAUUGGGGUGUUUACCCACACAUAAUUUACCUACACAUGUAAAUGUGUAGGUAUUUACCUACACAUGUUUGUAUAUGUGUGGGUAAUAGUUGAUGAUAUAUUUUCACAAUGAUUAACACUUAAUAUGUGUUGGUAAUACAUUUUUGCCACACUUGGUGUUGGUGGGAAAAUUUCCCCUCCAAAAUUGCCUACACAUGUAGCAAAUUUUCGUCAUGUGUAGCUAAAUUAUCUACACAUAUUUAAAAAAACUAAUACAUAUGUAGGUAAAUGAUUAUGUUUACUAACACAUAAGAAUUUAAAAAAAUAUGUAGAUAAACUAAGUUAAUAUAUACUUUUUUUUUUUUUUGAAAAUGACAUGGCAAAUUAAAUACCUACACAUGAUUAAAAAUAUACAAUAUGUGUAGAUAUUACAUGCCUAUAAAGUAAGUAAAUAUAUAUUUUUAGAUGAUGUGACAAAACAAAUAUCUACACAUAUUUAAAAAUGUACAAUAUGUGUAGAUAUUGAAUACAUAUAAAAUAAAUAAUUAAAUCUUUUUUAAGAUGACGUGGCAAAAAAUACCUACACAUAUUUAGAAAUGUACAAUAUGUGUAGAUAUUGAACACAUAAAAAAUAGGGUCAUUUACAUAUAUCCCCUUAUUAAAGUCACUUAUUACAUAUUUACCCAAUUCUUAAAAUCAAUUACAUAUAUAUAUAUAUAUACAUAUUUCCCCUCCUUAAUCUAUAUAUAUUACAUAUUUAUCCAUUUCAGUAAAAUUACUAUUAUUAAAUUACUAUUAUACUCUUAAUAAAACUCAUUCUAAGUUCUAAUAUUAAUUAUUAAUAUCUUUUAAUAGAAGGAUGAAAAUGAAUAGUCUUUUGAUCCUGGUCAUCCAUGUGUAUUAACUUGGGUUAAUUUGGGUUAUUGGCCCAUCUUGUGUCAUCUCAGUCUUCUUACGCGUGUAAAGAAAAAGGCCACGCUCACCUUUUUCCCCACCAGCACACAAAACUCAGUGAAUUACCAACCAUAAAAGGGUUAUUGGAUUUUAUCACCCUCAACUAUCGGUCUUUGACCGUUGCCACCCGCAACUAACACUUUUGGCACCUAGCACCCCCAACUUGACUUUUUGUUUGUAAUGGCACCACCCAGUUAAAUCUCCACUAACUGAGUUUGUCUUUUGUCCCACGUGGCACAACCAAGCUUACAUGAACAGGAUUACAUGGCGAUUACGUGUCACUGUAUCUCUAUUCAUCUCCCUCACACAAAACACACACACACACACACACACACACAAAACACGCACACCAUCAUCAUCAUUCUCUUUCUUCUCUGCAAGUGAUCAUCGGUCAAACCCAACCAGCUCAAGCAAUUAAUGAAAUCUCACUCAAAAAUCAUAAAACCCAUGUUUUUAACAAGACUAUAAAUCUGUUACAUCUCACUCACAAAUCACAAACACCCAUCUUUGAACAUUCUCAACUGCUAUCGUAAGAGAUGAUUCAAUCUGAAGUUCUACAACAUACCCAUCUCGAUCGUUUCAUCUACAGAUGAAAAUCUCGCAUCUGCGCUUCAAUUAAGGGAGAUUGAAGAGGAAUGGGGCGGAAUUGGGGGUUAGGGUUUUGGUGUAUUGGCCUGAUUCGAUUGAUUGGAUGAGGGUUUGGAUUGAGGUUUGAAGGGGUGUGGAAAUAGGUGGGGUUUGAUUGGGAGGAAGGGUGCAAUGGAGAAGACGAAGCUCGUAGGUGCGGUGGGUUUGCAGGAUCGCCAUUAAAGAGAAUGAUGAUGAUGGUGUGUGUGUUUUGGAGUUGUCUGUGUUAUAAAGAAGGAGAUGAGGUUUACAUACACAUCAUUUCCACGUAAUCAUCUCCAACUCAGCAAACUUGUGCCACGUCAAAAAAAAAAAAAAAAACAAACUCAGCUAGUGGAGAUUUAACUGGGUGGUGCCAUUGCAAACAAAAAGUCAAGUUGGGGGUGCCGGGUGUCAAAGUGUUAGUUGCGGGUGGCAACAGCCUUUGGUGAUAAAAUCCAAUAACCCACCCUAAAAACCAGAACAAAGGAAGCCGGUGGUGUGCGUAGCGUAACCCGGAAUAUGGACAGCCGGAGGCGAUGGAGGGUGGAGAGGAUGAAGGAAACGGAGGAGUUGCCGGCGGGAGUUUGGGAAUAACGGAAAUGCCUCCGGUGACCGUCCGUCAGCGUUCUUCAUAACGUUUGAUUUUUCUGUUUAGCAAUUAGGGUUCCAAUUUCAGUGUUCUUCACUCCGAUUGUAGGUGCGCUUGAUGCUUACUAUUGAUUGUGGUUGGAAAAAGGGUUGCACUGAUGCAGAGCUCAAGAAUGCUUACAAGAAGCUUUCACUGAGAUGGAACCCAGAUUGUUGUUCUGCAUUAGGAAACUUAAACAUGUGGAAGAAGCAAAGAAUAAGUUUCAGGCAAUACAAGAAGCCUAUUCUGAUAUUUGUGUUAAUAAGUUGUUCACUUGCAAUUUUGUGUUUCAUAAUUGAUAAUGUCGCAAUGAAGUGCAGUGGUGAUCAUCAUGCCUAUCAUUUUUUUGUUGCUUUGGGAUGGCUUAUAGAAUACAUGUCUUUCCAAUCACAUGAUAUGCAAAGAGGUCCAGGAGAGUCAGUGAAUCACAUGUUUAUUGUACUAAUAGCACCCAUUUUCUUCUUUAUAUUAAUUUACGUUUUUACCCCUCGCUGAUAUUUUGACAGCAAGGAUGGUGUGAUAGUGUUGGAUCUAUUGAAGAAAUUCUACUGGCAAGAAAGUCAUUGCUACCGUAUUCAAGAAAACAACAGGUAUGCCAAAGAAGAGCAAGAACAUGGCAUCAAGAAUCAGUUAAAAUCUACUGGCAAGAAAGUCAUUGCUUCAAAUCUUCAUUCCGAUUUAACAAAUGAGAAAGUGGCCCAAUCUCAAUCUGACGGCUUUGAUUCUACUCCUAUCAAGUCAACUACCAUUCAAGAAGUUCCUGCUUUGUUGUCUGUCAAGUCAAAGCCCAAGUCAAAACCAGUAAAGGAUUCGGUUCAGUCAAGAUCUCAUAGCAAUCCCAAAGAGAGGUCCACAAGUUUGGGUAUUCAGGGAAAGAAACGGCUAUCACUUCCCAGUAACGGGAAAGGUGUUGGGAGCUCAAAUAGCAAGGUUUCACAACCGACAAAAGCCAAUUAAGAUAUUUUUCAAGUCAAAUGGAAGUCAACAAGAUCAUAUAAACAACUGCUGAUGGAUGCUUGUAUAUACAUGAGUUAUUUAGCGCAUCAAGUUGCAACCGAAUUGCUGAGAUGUUUUCUCAAUAAUUAUUACAAUGUUCUUUAGUAUGUUGUGUCUGUCGGAUGGUGUGUCAUUACUUUGUAACUACCAAUGUGUAUGUUGUAUUACCGGACAUUUGUUUGGGUACCAGAUGAGAUGGACAUCAAGCACUAAAGUGGGUGCUUGGUGUAUGUUGAUGAAGUUCAUUUGUAGUUUUGAGUUUUUCUUGUUCAAGUAUGUAUCAGGUAAUUUAUAGUUUGUUCUUACUUAAGUCAAUAAUUCAUAAUUGUGCUGAAUGGACAAUAAAUAUGACCAUAUAUAUUUAUAUUA